AAUGCCAUGGCUCAUGACUAUCGUCUUAUUUUGUGUUUUGAAAUGUAAAGACACUAUCGUGUUAACUACUGGAUAAAUGAAGGGCCUUUUGUGAAUCAGGAACCAGUCUCCCACAUACACACACCUUCAAGGAACCCUGAAGAAAGAGUUUGUACAGUUUAAAGCUGUUGAAAGGUUGAAGAGUAGAGAAGCGGUUGAAAGGUUGAAGAGUAGGGAAGCUGUUGAAAGGUUGAAGAGUAGGGAAGCUGUUGAAGAGUAGAGAAGCUGUUGAAGAGUAGAGAAGCUGUUGAAAGGUUGAAGAGUAGGGAAGCUGUUGAAGAGUAGAGAAGCUGUUGAAACUGAAAGGUUGAAGAGUAGGGAAGCUUUUGAAAGGUUGAAGAGUAGGGAAGCUGUUGAAGAGUAGGGAAGCUGUUGAAGAGU
ensembl:lncRNA